CGGGGCGUAGCGCAGUUUGGUAGCGUGCUUGGUUCGGGACCAAGAGGUCGCAGGUUCAAAUCCUGUCGCCCCGA
rnacentral:tRNA from 1 species